rnacentral:rRNA from 1 species
GACGUAGGGCGCGAGCGUUGUCCGGAUUUAUUGGGCGUAAAGAGCUCGUAGGCGGCUCAUUGCGUCAACCGUGAAAACCUGCAGCUUAACUGUGGGCUUGCGGUUGAUACGGGUGGGCUGGAGUUCGGUAGGGGAGACUGGAAUUCCUGGUGUAGCGGUGAAAUGCGCAGAUAUCAGGAGGAACACCGAUGGCGAAGGCAGGUCUCUGGGCCACUACUGACGCUGAGAAGCGAAAGCAUGGGGAGCGAACAGG